rnacentral:ncRNA from 1 species
UGUCUAAUUAAAACAAAGCAUUGCGAUGGUCCCCACGGGUGUUGACGCAAUGUGAUUUCUGCCUAGUGCUCUGAAUGUCAACGUGAAGAAAUUCAAAAAAAGCGCGGGUAAACGGCGGGAGUAACUAUGACUCUCUUAAUACAUCUUUUAAGGAGCCAUAGUUAUAGGAACGGUGAUGCGUAAUACAGACCUCUUGUUAAGUCCUUCAGCCUCUCCCGUUCUACUCGCACACAUACCUCCUCGUGGUCCCGCCGGAAACACGUUGUCCUGAGUAAUCAGGCAACGUGGCUGAAUGUGUU